UUGUCCAGUGCAAACAUGGGAAGGACUAUGACUACCCGCAAAGGAGACAGUGUGAAAAUAAGGAGAAGGAAGUGAGAAAGGAGGGAGAAAAAGACAGCUGCUGUAGGUUUCACUGGAGCUGACCUUCAUGAAAUUUGUGGCUGUUUAUUGGCAUUUAUAUUAAUGAGGUAAAACAGUGUUCUCCUCUGAGGAAA